AUACAUAGGUGUUUCCCAGUUUAUUAUUUCCCUAAAAUCAUUGCUGGAAUAGUUCUGCUGAAACACUGAUAGAACAUACGUUAGAAAGUAUUUGCAGCUUCAAGAGCUAAAGGAAGAGUUCUUUGGCUGAUUGUGUAUCUGCUAUGCAAGAGAAUGUGCCUCUCUUCUCUGGGAAAGCUAAAGCUGUGUUCCUCAUCCAAGACUAUCUCAAGACUAUAAAUCAAUGGAAGGCUGAAUUUCCAGGUCUUGACUUUGCUUCAAUGGCAAUUUUUUCCAAUCCAGGAAGAAUAGGAAUGCACAGAAGAAACUCCGCUAAGCAUAUCUACUUAUGUGGAGUCUCAGAAGUGGAAGAUGUUGGUAAAGCAGUGGCACUGAGGUGUGUCACAGAGUGAGUCCAGUGAGUGGCUGCAGGAGAGGUACUUUGUCAGAGCAGAAAUGGAAAUGGGAAGCACUGGGCAUUUUACUUCACAAAGCCUUUGCAGUUCCUUGCCUCUACUGCCUGAGUCAUGUAAUUACCUUAGAAUUUCUAGUUCAGUUUGUUUACAAUACUGGGUUCUUCUUUUUCUUGAUAGUUGUUCAAGGUCGUAAAGAUCUGUCUAAAAAUAAAAAUUAGAACAUGUCCCUGGUGCACAUUCCUGUCUCCUUUCUCAAAUGAGACCAACCAGAAAGCAGCUGACACUAAUGCUAACAGUGGUAGUUGAAUAUAGAACAUUGCUGAAUACACCGGGGCAUCAGGGAGUGCUGCUCUCAGUGCACAAUGGCUGUGUUACUCAUUCUGGCAAAACACUGGCAUGGCCACUGAAGUUAAGGUGCUAGGAAGAGACAUUCUUCUUGCAGAACCCUCUGUGAUAAGAAAAAUAGAAGCAUGUCCUCAGCGUGUCUAGAAGACUUCAAAGAAGACCAAAGACAAAUUUUCUUUGGUUCUCAACAACCCUCAAUGUCCAAAGCAUCUGCUGUGAACACUGCCAAAAUUCCCUCUCCAUACUCAUCUAUUGUGUGCUCCAGAACCUGCUUUAAAUGAUCAUUGUGGGUAUACGUGUAUUUUGUCUUUUCCUGCAUAAGAUGCAUACCUACAUAAGAUGUCAUUUUACCUAUUUGUCUUUCUGCUUAAACUGAGAGAGAACUCGGAAGCACUCGUUCCGGUUCUACAGAAUUAUUCCAAAUAUCUGUGAAUAUAAACAUAACUUUUUGGGUAUCACUUUCACUUUUGGGGUAUCUUCCUAUGCUGUUGCUUUAAUUGUGUAUUGUGAGACACUCCAAGGUACUGCCCAUGUGUGGAGAACAUCUAUUACCAUGUUACUUUCAAAUUUAUGUUAUUUUAUUUUGUUUUCAUGUCUUGGAUGUUGGACAAAGACCUAAAUUUGUGAAAAGCUGUAGCUCUGUGUUGGAUGUAUGCAGGUCAUUUCAGAGAGCUGGAGAAAACAUUCUGAUAUUCAAGUGUAUUCACCAGGAAUCUUCCUGGAAACACCCAACCAUUUGUGCCAUUGGUUGAAUUCCAAAAGAAAAAAAUAUAUAUUUU
rnacentral:lncRNA from 7 species